rnacentral:rRNA from 1 species
CUACGGGUGGCUGCAGUGGGGAAUAUUGCACAAUGGGCGCAAGCCUGAUGCAGCCAUGCCGCGUGUAUGAAGAAGGCCUUCGGGUUGUAAAGUACUUUCAGCGGGGAGGAAGGGAGUAAAGUUAAUACCUUUGCUCAUUGACGUUACCCGCAGAAGAAGCACCGGCUAACUCCGUGCCAGCAGCCGCGGUAAUACGGAGGGUGCAAGCGUUAAUCGGCAUUACUGGGCGUAAAGCGCACGCAGGCGGUUUGUUAAGUCAGAUGUGAAAUCCCCGGGCUCAACCUGGGAACUGCAUCUGAUACUGGCAAGCUUGAGUCUCGCAGAGGGGGGUAGAAUUCCAGGUGUAGCGGUGAAAUGCGUAGAGAUCUGGAGGAAUACCGGUGGCGAAGGCGGCCCCCUGGACGAAGACUGACGCUCAGGUGCGAAAGCGUGGGGAGCAAACAGGAUUAGAUACCCUAGUAGUC